CAGGAAGUUGACAGAAGACUGGGGGCGGGCGUACUAAUCGGGCGGACUGGGAUCAGGGGCAGAUCGGGGCCCUCAGGCGGGGAGACCGCGUCCCCGGGGCCUGAACGGCGACAGGGAGUCGGGGUCACGGCGGCGGCGAAAUGUAGCUUUGGCACCGACAGGAGACUCCUGACAGUUUCUGGGUAGCCAAAGUACCCAAGAGGAACCACAAAAUCUGCGGGCAGUCUGGGCUGCUAGCUCUACAUCAGCGUAACCUGAGGCAGUGAGGAUGAGGUGGAAAGACGCCUAAGGCAUUUCCAUGGUCCAUCCCUUGCUCUCUACUUGACAUCUUCCAUGGUCAUUGGUGAGGUGAAGCCACAUCCAUCUUAUCGGAGACAACUGUUUGACCAGAUAUCAGAACCCAGCUUCUUUGGGAUUUCGAUAUGGAUGGGAGACUAGUGGUUUCUCUAGGAACCGUUCAGUGCCAGAUUGUGACUCCUGAGGCACCGGACUCCAGGACUGAGUCACCAAUGGAUUCUCAGCUUGUGGUGAGCAUGAAGAGAGCCAUAAUUGUAGUGCUCAGACUGUAUGAUAGUGUGGACUAAUACACAUGGUGACUUUUCAAAAGCAGCUUUGAUACCUACAGAUGGAGCUCAGUUGGUAGAGUCCUUGUUUAGUGUGCAAGAGACCCUGCGUUCCCUCCUCAUCACAGGUAAACUGGGCAAGGUAACCCCAGCACUUGGGAGGAGGGAAUAAGAGAACCAGAAAUUCAGUCAUCCUUGGCUAUGUAGCAAGUUUGAGACUAGCCUGAGCUACAGGAGAUCUGAC